rnacentral:lncRNA from 1 species
AAAAGUACCGGUUUUGUACGGAUCACUAGUUGACUGUGCUGCUGUAGCUGUGGCCAACUGGAUUUUGAUGGAUGAUUUUGUGAGGAAAAUGCUGCUGGAAUGGGGGAUGGAGGAGUUAAUACACACUUUCAAGGGAUGUCAGAGCUAUCCUGAUGGACUCUUUUAACGGAGAGAACUUCGUGAAGGAAAUGGAUAAUGGAAUGCUUUCUGUACAAUCUCGCAUAAAGGUUGUGCGAAUCCUGGUGUCUUGGUUAAUACAAGAAUUUACAAGCAAGAAGCAUGGUAUUCUCCAGCUAGGGAGAAACGGGAGGCAUCUGGAUAUUUGGAAUACCGACUUGUAAAUGUACGAAAGAGAGCACAAAAAAGUGCACCAAUUACAUCGGAGCCAAAGAAGACACCCAAAGCCUCCAUGGGAGACUUAACAGAUUCAGCAGGACUUCAGGAUUCUUUAUCCAGAGGUUGCAGAUAAGCUGUUCUUAGAGUGGCCCAAAAUAGCUCCCCUGGUACUGAAGUAUGCAGACCUCCAUAACCCGACAUGGCGGGAAUCUUUGACUGUUCCACAUCUCGCAUCUUCUGACUUGACAUGUCCUGCAGCAGAAGUGGAGACCAUGGCACUUCUUGCGCUUCCUCAAAUCUCGCCUCCAGGAAUGAAGAAGGGGGGAAGCGUAGUAUGAGAUGCAGCAGGGCAGAAUCAUCCAAAGCCUUCAUCAACAUCGGCCCAGUGGGGACAAACCUUCCAGAGUACCUAGAGAACUGCCAGCAAAAGCAACCUUUUGUGCUCGCCCUUGGGGACAUCCUCAAGCCAGAGCAAGUGUUCGUUAUUU